rnacentral:rRNA from 1 species
ACGUAGGCGGCAAGCGUUGUCCGGAAUUAUUGGGCGUAAAGGGAGCGCAGGCGGGAAACUAAGCGGAUCUUAAAAGUGCGGGGCUCAACCCCGUGAUGGGGUCCGAACUGGUUUUCUUGAGUGCAGGAGAGGAGAGCGGAAUUCCCAGUGUAGCGGUGAAAUGCGUAGAUAUUGGGAAGAACACCAGUGGCGAAGGCGGCUUUCUGGACUGUAACUGACGCUGAGGCUCGAAAGCUAGGGUAGCGAACGG